AUCCCAUCGUGAGGGCAUUCUGAUAUGUAAUCUUGAAAGCGUUCUCAUGCCUCAGGGACAGAUUCAUCGUAUUGUUGCUAAAAAGUUGAAAUCUUUGCAUAUAGGGC
rnacentral:snoRNA from 1 species